rnacentral:rRNA from 2 species
AGUCAGAACGCACUCUCGUUUAGAUUGAAGGAGCUUGCUCCUGAUUGAUAAACAUUUGAGUGAGUGGCGGACGGGUGAGUAACACGUGGGUAACCUGCCCUAAAGUGGGGGAUAACAUUUGGAAACAGAUGCUAAUACCGCAUAAAACCUAACACCGCAUGGUGUAGGGUUGAAAGAUGGUUUCGGCUAUCACUUUAGGAUGGACCCGCGGUGCAUUAGUUAGUUGGUGAGGUAAAGGCUCACCAAGACCGUGAUGCAUAGCCGACCUGAGAGGGUAAUCGGCCACACUGGGACUGAGACACGGCCCAGACUCCUACGGGAGGCAGCAGUAGGGAAUCUUCCACAAUGGACGAAAGUCUGAUGGAGCAACGCCGCGUGAGUGAAGAAGGUUUUCGGAUCGUAAAACUCUGUUGUUGGAGAAGAAUGUAUCUGAUAGUAACUGAUCAGGUAGUGACGGUAUCCAACCAGAAAGCCACGGCUAACUACGUGCCAGCAGCCGCGGUAAUACGUAGGUGGCAAGCGUUGUCCGGAUUUAUUGGGCGUAAAGCGAGCGCAGGCGGUUUCUUAAGUCUGAUGUGAAAGCCUUCGGCUCAACCGAAGAAGUGCAUCGGAAACUGGGAAACUUGAGUGCAGAAGAGGACAGUGGAACUCCAUGUGUAGCGGUGAAAUGCGUAGAUAUAUGGAAGAACACCAGUGGCGAAGGCGGCUGUCUGGUCUGUAACUGACGCUGAGGCUCGAAAGCAUGGGUAGCAAACAGGAUUAGAUACCCUGGUAGUCCAUGCCGUAAACGAUGAGUGCUAGGUGUUGGAGGGUUUCCGCCCUUCAGUGCCGCAGCUAACGCAUUAAGCACUCCGCCUGGGGAGUACGACCGCAGGUUGAAACUCAAAGGAAUUGACGGGGGCCCGCACAAGCGGUGGAGCAUGU